rnacentral:rRNA from 1 species
CUUAGUAGCGGCGAGUGAACAGGCAAGAGCUCAGAUUUGAAAGCCCUCGGGCAUUGUAUUCUGAAGCCUUGGUCCUGAGAAUCGGUGUUUAAGUCUUCUGGAAAGGAGCGCCAUGGAGGGUGAUAGCCCCGUACGACACCACUCUCAUUGUAGGACUUUGGCAUGGAGUCGAGUUGUUUGGGAAUGCAGCUCAAAUGGGUGGUAUGCUCCAUCUAAAGCUAAAUAUCUGCGAGAGACCGAUAGCGAACAAGUACUGUGAAGGAAAGAUGAAAAGAACUUUGAAAAGAGAGUGAAAAAGUACGUGAAAUUGUUGAAAUGGAAGGAUAGGCCGCUAACCAUGUAGGGUCGUGUUCGAGGGGAAGAUAAAAGCUGAAGAAUGUAGCUCCUCGGAGUGUUAUAGCUUCAGUCCAUAUUCCCUCUCGAGCGCGAGGAUGAAGAC